UUGACAUCACAUAUUUAUGUUUUUCAUUUUUUCUUUCCUGUCAUUAAUACAAUUAACUAAAACUUAAUUAUCUUAUUAAGAAAUUAUACUUUUAUACCAUUUAUUCGCUAAGCUCAGUAGUCGAGCACUAUAUUGGAAUCACGAAGGUUAUAUAGUCUCAACUCGAGUUUGAGCUAGGCUAGUUGAUAGUAGGGAUAAUUACAUAUCUGAUCCUACUUUAAAGACGAAUUAUAAAAUUGACCCUCCUUUUUCAACUUUGCAGAUUUGACCCUCAUUUUUUAAAAUGAAGUAGCCAUCUGACCCUCCUCGUUGAUUUAUGCCGUUAGAGUUUAGGUUAAAUGAAAUAAAAAAAUAAACUUUAAUUAUGAAUAGACUAUAUUGCCCCAGCUCUCUAUCUCACAUCCUCCUGUCUAUCUCACAUUGCCACACGCGAGGUGGUGGGGCGG
rnacentral:lncRNA from 1 species